rnacentral:tRNA from 1 species
UCCCUGGUGGUCUAGUGGCUAGGACGCCACACUUUUCACCACUGUGGCCCAGGUUCAAUCCCUGGCCUGGGAA